rnacentral:rRNA from 2 species
ACUAUCGUUAACUGAAUACAUAGGUUAACGAGGCGAACCGGGGGAACUGAAACAUCUAAGUACCCCGAGGAAAAGAAAUCAACCGAGAUUCCCCCAGUAGCGGCGAGCGAACGGGGAGCAGCCCAGAGUCUGAAUCAGCUUGUGUGUUAGUGGAACGGUCUGGAAAGUCCGACGGUACAGGGUGAUAGUCCCGUACACCAAAAUGCACAGGUUGUGAACUCGAAGAGUAGGGCGGGACACGUGGUAUCCUGUCUGAAUAUGGGGGGACCAUCCUCCAAGGCUAAAUACUCCUGACUGACCGAUAGUGAACCAGUACCGUGAGGGAAAGGCGAAAAGAACCCCGGCGAGGGGAGUGAAAAAGAACCUGAAACCGUGUACGUACAAGCAGUGGGAGCACCUUCGGGUGUGACUGCGUACCUUUUGUAUAAUGGGUCAGCGACUUAUAUUCUGUAGCAAGGUUAACCGUAUAGGGGAGCCGCAGGGAAACCGAGUCUUAACUGGGCGUUAAGUUGCAGGGUAUAGACCCGAAACCCGGUGAUCUAGCCAUGGGCAGGUUGAAGGUUGGGUAACACUAACUGGAGGACCGAACCGACUAAUGUUGAAAAAUUAGCGGAUGACUUGUGGCUGGGGGUGAAAGGCCAAUCAAACCGGGAGAUAGCUGGUUCUCCCCGAAAGCUAUUUAGGUAGCGCCUCGUGAACUCAUCUUCGGGGGUAGAGCACUGUUUCGGCUAGGGGGUCAUCCCGACUUACCAACCCGAUGCAAACUACGAAUACCGAAGAAUGUUAUCACGGGAGACACACGGCGGGUGCUAACGUCCGUCGUGAAGAGGGAAACAACCCAGACCGCCAGCUAAGGUCCCAAAGUCAUGGUUAAGUGGGAAACGAUGUGGGAAGGCACAGACAGCCAGGAUGUUGGCUUAGAAGCAGCCAUCAUUUAAAGAAAGCGUAAUAGCUCACUGGUCGAGUCGGCCUGCGCGGAAGAUGUAACGGGGCUAAACCAUGCACCGAAGCUGCGGCAGCGACACUAUGUGUUGUUGGGUAGGGGAGCGUUCUGUAAGCCUGCGAAGGUGUGCUGUGAGGCAUGCUGGAGGUAUCAGAAGUGCGAAUGCUGACAUAAGUAACGAUAAAGCGGGUGAAAAGCCCGCUCGCCGGAAGACCAAGGGUUCCUGUCCAACGUUAAUCGGGGCAGGGUGAGUCGACCCCUAAGGCGAGGCCGAAAGGCGUAGUCGAUGGGAAACAGGUUAAUAUUCCUGUACUUGGUGUUACUGCGAAGGGGGGACGGAGAAGGCUAUGUUAGCCGGGCGACGGUUGUCCCGGUUUAAGCAUGUAGGCUGGUUAUCCAGGCAAAUCCGGAUAAUCAAGGCUGAGGUGUGAUGACGAGGCACUACGGUGCUGAAGUAACAAAUGCCCUGCUUCCAGGAAAAGCCUCUAAGCAUCAGGUAACAUCAAAUCGUACCCCAAACCGACACAGGUGGUCAGGUAGAGAAUACCAAGGCGCUUGAGAGAACUCGGGUGAAGGAACUAGGCAAAAUGGUGCCGUAACUUCGGGAGAAGGCACGCUGGUGUGUAGGUGAAGUCCCUGCGGAUGGAGCUGAGACCAGUCGAAGAUACCAGCUGGCUGCAACUGUUUAUUAAAAACACAGCACUGUGCAAACACGAAAGUGGACGUAUACGGUGUGACGCCUGCCCGGUGCCGGAAGGUUAAUUGAUGGGGUUAUCCGUAAGGAGAAGCUCUUGAUCGAAGCCCCGGUAAACGGCGGCCGUAACUAUAACGGUCCUAAGGUAGCGAAAUUCCUUGUCGGGUAAGUUCCGACCUGCACGAAUGGCGUAAUGAUGGCCAGGCUGUCUCCACCCGAGACUCAGUGAAAUUGAACUCGCUGUGAAGAUGCAGUGUACCCGCGGCAAGACGGAAAGACCCCGUGAACCUUUACUAUAGCUUGACACUGAACAUUGAGCCUUGAUGUGUAGGAUAGGUGGGAGGCUUUGAAGCGUGGACGCCAGUCUGCGUGGAGCCAACCUUGAAAUACCACCCUUUAAUGUUUGAUGUUCUAACGUUGGCCCCUGACCGGGGUUGCGGACAGUGUCUGGUGGGUAGUUUGACUGGGGCGGUCUCCUCCCAAAGCGUAACGGAGGAGCACGAAGGUUAGCUAAUCCUGGUCGGACAUCAGGAGGUUAGUGCAAUGGCAUAAGCUAGCUUGACUGCGAGCGUGACGGCGCGAGCAGGUGCGAAAGCAGGUCAUAGUGAUCCGGUGGUUCUGAAUGGAAGGGCCAUCGCUCAACGGAUAAAAGGUACUCCGGGGAUAACAGGCUGAUACCGCCCAAGAGUUCAUAUCGACGGCGGUGUUUGGCACCUCGAUGUCGGCUCAUCACAUCCUGGGGCUGAAGUAGGUCCCAAGGGUAUGGCUGUUCGCCAUUUAAAGUGGUACGCGAGCUGGGUUUAGAACGUCGUGAGACAGUUCGGUCCCUAUCUGCCGUGGGCGCUGGAGAAUUGAGGGGGGCUGCUCCUAGUACGAGAGGACCGGAGUGGACGCAUCACUGGUGUUCGGGUUGUCAUGCCAAUGGCACUGCCCGGUAGCUAAAUGCGGAAGAGAUAAGUGCUGAAAGCAUCUAAGCACGAAACUUGCCCCGAGAUGAGUUCU